rnacentral:tRNA from 1 species
AGGGAUGGGAAUCGAACCCACGACCUUCCGCUUACCGGGCAGAUGCCAUGACCACUAGCUAUAGGCUC